UACGGGGGGGGUAAGCGUUGUUCGGAAUUACUGGGCGUAAAGGGCUCGUAGGCGGCCAACUAAGUCAUACGUGAAAUCCCUCAGCUUAACUGGGGAACUGCGUGUGAUACUGGAUGGCUUGGAUUUGGGAGAGGGAUGCGGAAUUCCAGGUGUAGCGGUGAAAUGCGUAGAUAUCUGGAGGAACACCGGUGGCAAAGGCGGCGUUCUGGACUGCAACUGACACUGAUGAACGAAAGCCAGGGGAGCAAACGGG
rnacentral:rRNA from 1 species